CGAUGCAUAGCCGACCUGAGAGGGUGAUCGGCCACACUGGGACUGAGACACGGCCCAGACUCCUACGGGAGGCAGCAGUAGGGAAUCUUCGGCAAUGGACGAAAGUCUGACCGAGCAACGCCGCGUGAGUGAAGAAGGUUUUCGGAUCGUAAAACUCUGUUGUUAGAGAAGAACAAGGAUGAGAGUAGAACGUUCAUCCCUUGACGGUAUCUAACCAGAAAGCCACGGCUAACUACGUGCCAGCAGCCGCGGUAAUACGUAGGUGGCAAGCGUUGUCCGGAUUUAUUGGGCGUAAAGCGAGCGCAGGCGGUUUCUUAAGUCUGAUGUGAAAGCCCCCGGCUCAACCGGGGAGGGUCAUUGGAAACUGGGAGACUUGAGUGCAGAAGAGGAGAGUGGAAUUCCAUGUGUAGCGGUGAAAUGCGUAGAUAUAUGGAGGAACACCAGUGGCGAAGGCGGCUCUCUGGUCUGUAACUGACGCUGAGGCUCGAAAGCGUGGGGAGCGAACAGGAUUAGAUACCCUGGUAGUCCACGCCGUAAACGAUGAGUGCUAAGUGUUGGAGGGUUUCCGCCCUUCA
rnacentral:rRNA from 1 species